rnacentral:rRNA from 1 species
AUUGAACGCUGGCGGCAGGCCUAACACAUGCAAGUCGAGCGGAUGAAGGGAGCUUGCUCCUGGAUUCAGCGGCGGACGGGUGAGUAAUGCCUAGGAAUCUGCCUGGUAGUGGGGGCUAACGUCCGGAAACGGGCGCUAAUCCCGCAUACGUCCUGAUGGAGAAAGUGGGGAUCUUCGGACCUCACGCUAUCUGAUGAUCCUAGGUCGGAUUAGCUAGUUGGUGGGGUAAGGGCCUACCAAGGCGACGAUCCGUAACUGGUCUGAGAGGAUGAUCAGUCACACUGGAACUGAGACACGGUCCAGACUCCUACGGGAGGCAGCAGUGGGGAAUAUUGGACAAUGGGCGAAAGCCUGAUCCAGCCAUGCCGCGUGUGUGAAGAAGGUCUUCGGAUUGUAAAGCACUUUAAGUUGGGAGGAAGGGCAGUAAGUUAAUACCUUGCUGUUUUGACGUUACCAACAGAAUAAGCACCGGCUAACUUCGUG